rnacentral:rRNA from 1 species
UGGUGGAGUGAUUUGUCUGCUUAAUUGCGCUAACGAACGAGACCUCAGCCUGCUAACUAGUUAUGCGCUCCUCUGGAGCGUAGCCAACUUCUUAGAGGGACUAUCGGAGCCAAUCCGAUGGAAGUUUGAGGCAAUAACA